UAUUAGUAGUAGUAGUAUUAAUGCAUUUAGUUGAUAGGGACUGCUUUUUUUGUUCAGUGCUGGAACUUGUGUAGUUCUGUGUUUUCCAAACUACCCCAAAUCACUGAUUGUUCCUUUCAAAAGGCUAGGAUGCUAGUGAAUUGCAUGCAUCAGGUGAAAGCAACAGCUGGGCAUGGUGGGUGAUUGAUUGGGAGGGGCAUAGGAAUUGCACUUGUACCUACCAAAGGUUCAUUCCACUGUAGCUGUUCAUAGUUUCAACAUCAGAGUAAGGUAGAGAGCUCUGCAGACUGAACUGGGAUUUUGAUUCAGAUCUCUAAGGUUUGGGUAGAAGUGAUAGAGCUCUAUGGUGGCACCAGUGACUGCUUAGUUAGAAAGGUAGAGAAUGUGAGGACAACAGGACAGGUUUUACUUCUGCACCUGUUGUAAAGGUACAAAUUCAUCUAGGAUAAUGUUUCUGUUGAUGAUAAUUAGUCAGAUAUAUUAACCCAGGAAGGGCAUUCCACAAACUGCUCCUCUGCUGAUUGUAGGGUCUGGUAUGGUUGAUAUUGGGGGAGACACUCUUUUGCAAAUAAUUUUUUAUUAGUUUUCCGAUAUUACCCCAAUAAUAACCCUAUUAUAACACUACCAGUUAAUACCCAGUUAAGACGUUUAGGCUCCCUGUGUGGUGGAUUUGAUGCAUUCCUAAUCUUAUAUUUCUGUGUUCCAUGAUUUUAUUAAUUUUGGUUACAUUCCAGUUAAAAUAGUAAUCCCUUAUACUGCGGCUGCAUUCUUAAUGAUUUGUAUUUGUGUUAUUGUGUUAUUUUACUUUAUAGAACAUCAUAACGGUUAUCGUUGUUCUGUCCUGCAUAUGAAGGCUGUUGUGUCCAUGAUGAUUCUUUCUGACCAUAUAUGGUGGUAUAUCUUGCCCUUACUCAGCUGUUGUUGUCUCCCAACAUGACUUGGGAUGGAACUGUUAUCCUGAGGCAUCUUGAAAGUCUCUGCAUCCCUCCACCCCAUCAUUCAAUGUUUCCAAACAUACAACAAUCCACUCUGUUCCACUGGUUAAAGUGGGUCGCAGAUCUUAUCCAUUUCUUCCUCAGUCUGGGAAGAGUGGACUAUUUUCAAAUGCAAGCUUAGAUGAUUUAAUGCUCCUUUUCAACUCACAAGACCUCUGUGUUGCCUUUUUUCCACAGCCCACAGUUUCCUUUCAUCCUUACAGCUGAGAUUUAUGGCCAAUUAUCAUUCAACUUAAUCCUCUCAGUCUGCCCCCCCCCCACCUUCCCUGCUAUAAAAAGUGGAAAGGGAAGGCAUUCUUUUGAGGUACUUGGGUUCCAAGCCAUUUAGGGCUUUAUGCACUGGUACUAAUAUCUUGAAUUGAGCUCACUAACUACACCCCCCCUCCUCUCAUGAUGAAGUGUGUGGUGCAGUUAAUUGCUAUCAAGGUUUUAGUGUAGCAGUGGUGAUCUUCAUUCAUAGAAUCAUAGAGUUGGAAGAGACCACAAGGGCCAUCGAGUCCAACCCCCUGCCAAGCAGGAAACACCAUCAGAGCACUCCUGACAUAUGGUUGUCAAGCCUCUGCUUAAAGACCUCCAAAGAAGGAGACUCCACCACACUCCUUGGCAGCAAAUUCCACUGUCGAACAGCUCUUACUGUCAGGAAGUUCUUCCUAAUGUUUAGGUGGAAUCUUCUUUCUUGUAGUUUGGAUCCAUUGCUCCGUGUCCGCUUCUCUGGAGCAGCAGAAAACAACCUUUCUCCCUCCUCUAUGUGACAUCCUUUUAUAUAUUUGAACAUGGCUAUCAUAUCACCCCUUAACCUCCUCUUCUCCAGGCUAAACAUGCCCAGCUCCCUUAGCCGUUCCUCAUAAGGCAUCGUUUCCAGGCCUUUGACCAUUUUGGUUGCCCUCCUCUGGACACGUUCCAGUUUGUCAGUGUCCUUCUUGAACUGUGGUGCCCAGAACUGGACACAGUACUCCAGGUGAGGUCUGACCAGAGCAGAAUACAGUGGCACUAUUACUUCCCUUGAUCUAGAUGCUAUACUCCUAUUGAUGCAGCCCAGAAUUGCAUUGGCUUUUUUAGCUGCCGCGUCACACUGUUGGCUCAUGUCAAGUUUGUGGUCAACCAAGACUCCUAGAUCCUUUUCAUAUGUACUGCUCUCAAGCCAGGUGUCACCCAUCUUGUAUUUGUGCCUCUCAUUUUUUUGCCCAAGUGCAAUACUUUACAUUUCUCCCUGUUAAAAUUCAUCUUGUUUGUUUUGGCCCAGUUCUCUAAUCUGUGAAGGUCGUUUUGAAGUGUGAUCCUGUCCUCUGGGGUGUUAGCCACCCCUCCCAGUUUGGUGUCAUCUGCAAAUUUGAUCAGGAUGCCCUUGAGUCCAUCAUCCAAGUCGUUGAUAAAGAUGUUGAAUAAGACCGGGCCCAAGACAGAACCCUGUGGCACCCCACUAGUCACUCUUCUCCAGGAUGAAGAGGAACCAUUGAUGAGCACCCUUUGGGUUCGGUCAGUCAGCCAGUUACAAAUCCACUGAGUGGUAGCAUAAUCAAGACCACAUUUUACCAGCUUCUUUACAAGAAUAUCAUGGGGCACCUUGUCAAAUGCCUUGCUGAAAUCAAGGUAGGCUACAUCCACUGCGUUCCCUUCAUCUACCAGGCUUGUAAUUCUGUCAAAAACGAGAUCAGGUUAGUCUGACAUGACUUAUUUUUCAGAAAUCCAUGCUGACUAUUGGUGAUCACAGCAUUCCUUUCUAGGUGCUCACAGACUGUUUGCUUAAUGAUCUGCUCCAGAAUCUUCCCUGGUAUUGAUGUCAGACUGACUGGGCGGUAAUUAUUUGGGUCCUCUCUUUCCCCCUUUUUGAAAAUAGGGACAACAUUUGCCCUCCUCCAGUCUGCCGGGACUUCGCCUGUUCUCCAGGAAUUCUCAAAGAUGACUGCCAGUGGUUCUGAGAUCACCUCUACCAGUUCUUUUAAUACUCUUGGAUGCAGUUCAUCUGGCCCUGGAGACUUGAAUACAUCUAAACUAGCCAAGUAUUCUUGUAUGUAUUUUUGAGGAAGUGCUGUGGACACCACAAACUCUGGACAGUUCUUUUUUACCUUCUCCCCAGAGUGUCACUCUUCCAAGCUCCUCUUUUCAGCCCUAUGGACUUUUCAAGGGGGAAAGGGGAAAUAUCUGCACCACCUCAUUACCUCAAGGCCACCAUUGUGCCCAUGAACACCACAGUGACAGUCCCUGUUUUAGGGUGACAAGGAAGGAGGAGGAAAUGUCAUUCGUUAGUGAUAUGGUGUCAGAAAGCAUGUUCUGGAAUACAGAUCUUGCAUGCCCUCAACUUGUCAGUUCUGGGAAUCCAGGUUUUGAUAUACACAUGUCUCCAUCUUUUAUGAGGAAGAAAACCAAAGUCAGAUUUUUCUCUUUCUCUUAAAAUGACAGGAGUUUCAUGCUACACACCUUUAAUCUUACAUCUUCUUUCUGUCUGAACCUUUGUCAUUCAUAACACAGUCACGUUGCUCAGGAGAGUCUCUUUAGAUGGAAUCUAUCUCUGAGAGCUUAAGUCAAGGGAUUUUCAAACAGUCACCUUAAUUUAAGUAUGUGAAUGCAUAGCUAAUGAAGGGGGGUUGGGCCAAGGCUCUUCUGAUAACAUUAAAGUCAGGAAACCCUUGAUAAUUAUGACUUGAUAGCUAUCCUUUGUGUUCUGUAACUUGCAAACAUCAUAUUAUCUGCUGCAGACCACAAGGGCAGAAGCAGUCUUCAGCAGAGGGAAGAGUACUGGGCCAAAAACAAACAAGAAAGGUGGAGAGAAUUUAAAUACCAAUUUCCUUUGAAACAAUUUAUUUGCAUUUUCUUUUUAUAUACAUUUAUAUCCUGCCUUAUUGCCGAAUCCUUAGAUCAGCAGAUUUGGUGCCAAGAACCUUGAAAAAUACAUAGGGCUGAAAGUGCAAGUGGAGAAAGAGCUUUCCUCUUCCUACUUCCUCCAGUAUACAGUACUUUUAAAGGGAAAAUAUGUAGACAUUCAUGGAUAAGUGGAGGGGCUGCAGAGGCCAAGGGAACUCCUCAAGGAUGCCACUGCAUCUAUGAACACAAUAUUGGCAGUGACAGCAUAUGAUCGAGAUGCUACAGGAACUUGGGAAGCUGCCUUAUCCUGAGUCAAGCCAUUGGUCCAUUUAUACUGAUUCAGACCACUGGUAGCAAUUUACCAGAGUUUUAUAUAAGGGAUAUUCUCAGUUCUACCCGGAGAUGCCAGGGACUGAACUUAGAACUCUUCUGCAUGCAAAGCAGCUGCUCUACCGCUAAUUCUAUUUUAUUUUUUCUCUUUUUUGUAACAUUUUGAAAAUCUCAAUAAAUAUCUUU